rnacentral:rRNA from 1 species
UACGUAGGGUGCGAGCGUUAAUCGGAAUUACUGGGCGUAAAGCGUGCGCAAGCGGUUUUGUAAGCCAGAUGUGAAAGCCCCGGGCUUAACCUGGGAAUGGCAUUUGGGACUGCAAGGCUUGAGUGCGGCAGAGGAGACUGGAAUUCCUGGUGUAGCAGUGAAAUGCGUAGAUAUCAGGAGGAAUACCGAUGGCGAAGGCAGGUCUCUGGGCUGACACUGACGCUCAUGCACGAAAGCGUGGGGAGCAAACAGG